GAUGAACGCUGGCGGCGUGCCUAAUACAUGCAAGUCGAGCGAACGGACGAGAAGCUUGCUUCUCUGAUGUUAGCGGCGGACGGGUGAGUAACACGUGGAUAACCUACCUAUAAGACUGGGAUAACUUCGGGAAACCGGAGCUAAUACCGGAUAAUAUUUUGAACCGCAUGGUUCAAAAGUGAAAGACGGUCUUGCUGUCACUUAUAGAUGGAUCCGCGCUGCAUUAGCUAGUUGGUAAGUUAACGGCUUACCAAGGCAACGAUGCAUAGCCGACCUGAGAGGGUGAUAGGCCACACUGGAACUGAGACACGGUCCAGACUCCUAAGGGAGGCAGCAGUAGGGAAUCUUCCGCAAUGGGCGAAAGCAUGACGGAGCAACGCCGCGUGAGUGAUGACGGUCUUCGGAUCGUAAAACUCUGUUAUUAGGGAAGAACAUAUGUGUAAGUAACUGUGCACAUCUUGACGGUACCUAAUCAGAAAGCCACGGCUAACUACGUG
rnacentral:rRNA from 1 species